rnacentral:ncRNA from 1 species
UGUCUCCUCUAUUCUCCUCCUCGGAAAUAGAUUCAGCCCGCUCCCCUGGAGCGGGCUUUUUUUU